rnacentral:rRNA from 1 species
AUUGAACGCUGGCGGCAUGCCUACACAUGCAAGUCGAACGGCAGCACGGAGCUUGCUCUGGUGGCGAGUGGCGAACGGGUGAGUAAUAUAUCGGAACGUACCCUAGAGUGGGGGAUAACGUAGCGAAAGUUACGCUAAUACCGCAUACGAUCUAAGGAUGAAAGUGGGGGAUCGCAAGACCUCAUGCUCGUGGAGCGGCCGAUAUCUGAUUAGCUAGUUGGUAGGGUAAAAGCCUACCAAGGCAUCGAUCAGUAGCUGGUCUGAGAGGACGACCAGCCACACUGGAACUGAGACACGGUCCAGACUCCUACGGGAGGCAGCAGUGGGGAAUUUUGGACAAUGGGCGAAAGCCUGAUCCAGCAAUGCCGCGUGAGUGAAGAAGGCCUUCGGGUUGUAAAGCUCUUUUGUCAGGGAAGAAACGGUGGGAGCUAAUAUCUCUUGCUAAUGACGGUACCUGAAGAAU